UACGUAGGGGGCAAGCGUUGUCCGGAAUCAUUGGGCGUAAAGAGCGUGUAGGCGGCCUGAUAAGUCGGCUGUGAAAGUCAAGGGCUCAACCCUUGAAUGCCGGCCGAUACUGUCAGGCUAGAGUCCGGAAGAGGCGAGUGGAAUUCCUAGUGUAGAGGUGAAAUUCGUAGAUAUUAGGAAGAACACCAGUGGCGAAGGCGGCUCACUGGCCCGGUACUGACGCUGAGGCGCGAAAGCGUGGGGAGCAAACAGG
rnacentral:rRNA from 1 species